UUGUAAGUUUCCUGAGGCCUCCCCAGAAGCAGAAGCCUGCACAGCCUGCAGAACCACUAGAAUCCAGUCCAAACAUUGGGAAGCCUUCCAUGAUCCUCCAGACUAGAUCACAUCCAAACUCUUGGGUUCUUCCCUUCAUAGCACUUCUCAAAAUCUUCUAGAGGCUGCCCACAUUCCUUAGCUGGUGGCUCCUUCCUUCCCUUACAAAGCCAGCAAUGGUCAGUGGACUCCUUGUCAGAUGGCAUCACUCUGACUGCUUCUUCCACCUCACUCUUCUACUUUUAAAGACCUUACGGUUACCUUGGGACCACAGGAUGAUCCAGAACAAUUCUUUUAUCAUGAGGUCAGAAUAUUAGCUCCCUUAAUUCCAUCCACUACCUUAAUUCCCCUUUGCUAUGCAAGAUAUAUUAACAGGUUCCAGAAAGUAGGAUAUGGGCAUAUUUGCCUAUCAUAUCUAUAAAAGGAGUACAGGAGCUCUCUAUGUUCUGAUAGAAAAAAUUCUCCAGCAUAUAUUGUUACAUAAAAAAAUGAAGGCAAAGAAGAGUGUCAAUAGUAUGCUACUAUUUACAUAGAAAA